rnacentral:rRNA from 1 species
UACGGAGGGUGCAAGCGUUAUCCGGAUUCACUGGGUUUAAAGGGUGCAUAGGUGGGCAGGUAAGUCAGUGGUGAAAUCUCCGGGCUUAACCCGGAAACUGCCAUUGAUACUAUUUGUCUUGAAUACCGUGGAGGUCAGCGGAAUAUGUCAUGUAGCGGUGAAAUGCUUAGAUAUGACAUAGAACACCAAUUGCGAAGGCAGCUGGCUACACGAAUAUUGACACUGAUGCACGAAAGCGUGGGGAUCAAACAGG